rnacentral:rRNA from 1 species
GACGAACGCUGGCGGCGUGCUUAACACAUGCAAGUCGAACGAUGAAGCCGGAGCUUGCUCUGGUGAAUUAGUGGCGAACGGGUGAGUAACACGUGAGUAACCUGCCCUUGACUCUGGGAUAACUGCGGGAAACUGUAGCUAAUACCGGAUACGACCCUCGGAGGCAUCUCCUGGGGGUGGAAAGAAUUUCGGUCAAGGAUGGACUCGCGGCCUAUCAGCUAGUUGGUGAGGUAAAGGCGCACGAAGGCGACGACGGGUAGCCGGCCUGAGAGGGUGACCGGCCACACUGGGACUGAGACACGGCCCAGACUCCUACGGGAGGCAGCAGUGGGGAAUAUUGCACAAAGGGCGCGAGCCUGAUGCAGCAACGCCGCGUGAGGGAUGACGGCCUUCGGGUUGUAAACCUCUUUUAGCAGGGAAGAAGCGAAAGUGACGGUACCUGCAGAAAAAGCACCGGCUAACUACGUGCCAGCCGCCGCAGUAA